rnacentral:rRNA from 2 species
GCUAUACAUGCAAGUCGAGCGGACUUGAUGGAGCUUGCUCCAUUAAGUUAGCGGCGGACGGGUGAGUAACACGUGGGCAACCUGCCUGUAAGACUGGGAUAACUCCGGGAAACCGGAGCUAAUACCGGAUAGUAUCUUGAACCGCAUGGUUCAAGUUGGAAAGACGGUUUCGGCUGUCACUUACAGAUGGGCCCGCGGCGCAUUAGCUAGUUGGUGAGGUAAUGGCUCACCAAGGCAACGAUGCGUAGCCGACCUGAGAGGGUGAUCGGCCACACUGGGACUGAGACACGGCCCAGACUCCUACGGGAGGCAGCAGUAGGGAAUCUUCCGCAAUGGACGAAAGUCUGACGGAGCAACGCCGCGUGAGUGAUGAAGGUUUUCGGAUCGUAAAACUCUGUUGUUAGGGAAGAACAAGUGCGAGAGUAACUGCUCGCACCUUGACGGUACCUAACCAGAAAGCCACGGCUAACUACGUGCCAGCAGCCGCGGUAAUACGUAGGUGGCAAGCGUUGUCCGGAAUUAUUGGGCGUAAAGCGCGCGCAGGCGGUUUCUUAAGUCUGAUGUGAAAGCCCCCGGCUCAACCGGGGAGGGUCAUUGGAAACUGGGAAACUUGAGUGCAGAAGAGGAGAGUGGAAUUCCACGUGUAGCGGUGAAAUGCGUAGAGAUGUGGAGGAACACCAGUGGCGAAGGCGACUCUCUGGUCUGUAACUGACGCUGAGGCGCGAAAGCGUGGGGAGCGAACAGGAUUAGAUACCCUGGUAGUCCACGCCGUAAACGAUGAGUGCUAAGUGUUAGAGGGUUUCCGCCCUUUAGUGCUGCAGCUAACGCAUUAAGCACUCCGCCUGGGGAGUACGGUCGCAAGACUGAAACUCAAAGGAAUUGACGGGGGCCCGCACAAGCGGUGGAGCAUGUGGUUUAAUUCGAAGCAACGCGAAGAACCUUACCAGGUCUUGACAUCCUUUGCCACUUCUAGAGAUAGAAGGUUCCCCUUCGGGGGACAAAGUGACAGGUGGUGCAUGGUUGUCGUCAGCUC